CACACACACACACACACACGCCCUCGCGGCUCGCGCGCUCGCACUUCCGGCUAAUAACUUACUAUUUUCUAGCCUCUAGGCGGUGGCGCCCUGAUUAGCUCCGCGUUCUCAACGCGGAAGCAGCUCAGAUGUAAAUUCAAUUGGUCAGAGCAGCUCGAAAUCCCUGUUCUCAUUGUCAAGUCAGAAACCUCAAGUUGUUGAAGCAAUGGGUGCAAGGUAUAUCAACUUCUGUAUAUGGAGCAUCAUUUUCCAAUAUUCUCAGUUUGCACUUUUAAUUACCUUGUUUCAUAAUUUACAAAGUGUAUCAAAUCUUAUGUUGAAUGAAUGAAGUAAACUAUUCUUUGAUAACUAUCUGAUUAGAUAAGAAGUUAGACAUGUUUAUAUUGAUUGGGUUCAAAUCUUAUGUUUCAUAA